AACGAACGCUGGCGGCAUGCCUAACACAUGCAAGUCGAACGAGACCUUCGGGUCUAGUGGCGCACGGGUGCGUAACGCGUGGGAACCUUCCCUUAGGUUCGGAAUAACUCCCCGAAAGGGGUGCUAAUACCGGAUAAUGUCUUCGGACCAAAGAUUUAUCGACUUGGGAUGGGCCCGCGUUGAAUUAGCUAGUUGGUAGGGUAAAAGUCUACCAAGGCGACGAUCCAUAGCUGGUCUGAGAGGAUGAUCAGCCACACUGGGACUGAGACACGGCCCAGACUCCUACGGGAGGCAGCAGGGGGGAAUAUGGGACAAUGGGCGAAAGCCUGAGCCAGCAGUGCCGCGUGAGUGAUGAAGGCGUUAGGGUUGUAAAGCUCUGUGAACCGGGAUGAUAAUGACAGUACCGGGAGAAUAAGCGCCGGCUAACUCCGUG
rnacentral:rRNA from 1 species